rnacentral:rRNA from 1 species
AUUGAACGCUGGCGGCAUGCCUUACACAUGCAGGUCGAACGGCAGCACGGGUGCUUGCACCUGGUGGCGAGUGGCGAACGGGUGAGUAAUAUAUCGGAACGUACCUUAUUGUGGGGGAUAACGCAGCGAAAGCUGUGCUAAUACCGCAUAAUCCCUAAGGGGGAAAGCGGGGGACCGUAAGGCCUCGCGCAAUUAGAGCGGCCGAUACCUGAUUAGCUAGUUGGUGAGGUAAAGGCUCACCAAGGCAACGAUCAGUAGCUGGUCUGAGAGGACGAUCAGCCACAAUGGGACUGAGACACGGCCCAGACUCCUACGGGAGGCAGCAGUGGGGAAUUUUGGACAAUGGGGGCAACCCUGAUCCAGCAAUGCCGCGUGAGUGAAGAAGGCCUUCGGGUUGUAAAGCUCUUUUGUCAGGGAAGAAACAGCAGCUCUAACACAGUUUGCGAAUGACGGUACCUGAAGAAUAAGCACCGGCUAACUACGUGCCAGCAGCCGCCGUAA